CCGAGGGAGCGCAGCCGGCUGUGUGAGGGAUCAGAAGGUGGACGAGGCUGCGGGUGUCCUGCUCAGUGUUACGCUGGUCCUCUACGGAACCCAACCACCAAAUGGGGCCCCUCUAGGGACCGUAGUAUCCCUGGGGACCCACCACCUGGUUCCCCAGGCUGAGCUGCAUGCCAGGGGCCCCUCUACGGUUCUUGAUGUCAUCCAAUGGGCCUACCAGCUGGAGACAGAGAGGAGGGUGUGCUUUGAGGACAUCCCUGACCCACCUAGACCUGAGUGUACCAAAGAAAGCACGCAUCCAUCCCUGGACCUGACCUACUUACACGCAGACGACACUGACGCGGUGCAGACACGUG